UGCAGACAGCGAGGACCAGGAACUCACGGUGGAGGAGAGGAACCUCCUCUCGGUGGCCUACAAAAACGUGAUGGGAACAAAGCGCGCUUCGUGGCGCAUCAUCUCCUCCAAGGAGGCGAAGGAGGAGAGCCUUGGUAACGAGGACCACCUAGACAACAUCCGCGAAUUCCGUUACAUGGUAGAGUCCCCGUGGCCUACAAAAACGUGAUGGGAACAAAGCGCGCUUCGUGGCGCAUCAUCUCCUCCAAGGAGGCGAAGGAGGAGAGCCUUGGUAACGAGGACCACCUAGACAACAUCCGCGAAUUUCGUUACAUGGUAGAGUCCCAUCUCUGUAACAUCUGCGACGAUGUCCUCAAUCUCCUCGACUCACGCCUCAUCCCAUCGGCCUCCUCCGCCGAAUCCAAGGUCUUCUACCUCAAGAUGAAGGGUGAUUA
rnacentral:lncRNA from 1 species